AGCCAGGAAAAGGAUGAAACACAAGCGGCAGGCGACUUAGCUCAGCUCAUUCUCUCACGUCACGCGUACUAAAUAUCCCUCAAUUUACCAAACCUCCCCCCCCUACUCCCCUCAUUAUUCACAACACGAUCACAACACAAUAGCCUCACCUUCCUUCACUAAGCAUAUUCUCUCUCUCUCGCUCUCGUCAACCUCCUCAAUCUCUCGCUCCACUCCAGCCGUCUCUCCCCAUUAUCAAUCGCUUCUUUUUUGGCGAUGCCGUAGCUCUUUCCGUUGCCGGAAAUCCUCGCCGCCGGCGGAAUCUCCGGCUUAAUUACUUGGAUUUUAGGUUUUUCGAUUUGGAUUCUAUCGCUAUUCGUAUCGAUUGCGUUUUCGGAGGUAUUGUUUCUAUUAUUGUUUUAAUUACUAUCUAGGUUGCUUAGGAUAGAUUUGUAGAUAAAAUCGACAUGGCUGGGGGUCGUAAAAGGGGAGGCAACAAGGCCAAAGCCAAGAGUCAGUUGAGUGUGGGGGAUCUUGUUCUCGCCAAAGUCAAGGGCUUUCCAGCCUGGCCUGCCAAGAUCAGUCGACCUGAAGACUGGGAUCGAGCUCCAGACCCCAAGAAACAUUUUGUUCAAUUCUUUGGAACACAGGAAAUAGCUUUUGUUGCCCCCACUGACAUCCAGACAUUCACCAGUGAGUCAAAGAGUAAAUUGUUAGCUCGAUGUCAAGGUAAAACAGUUAAGUACUUUGCCCAAGCAGUGAAGGAAAUUUGUGGUGCAUUUGAAGAGUUAGAGAAGGAAAAAUCAAGUGAAUUGAGAUCUGAUGCUGAUAGAUCGGCACCUGGUUCUGAGGCUGUUUCUGUGGAUGAGGCAGAUGUUGACUUGAAGGAUGGGGUUGGUGCUGUCGAACCGAAUGGAGACCCAAAAAAGGAAGAAAUAGAUGGUUAUAGAUCUAAGUCGGAGCCCUGCUCAAAUAGUCAAGGAGACACCGGCAGUGAGGAUAUAAAGCCUUCUAUUUCAUCUAAUCCUGCAGAUGGUAUUUCAUCUCCGGUUAUGUCAUCUGAGACAAAGAUGAAAAUAUCUAAUGGGCCGCAAUCAAAAGAGGAAUUAUGCACAUCUGCUUCAUAUAAUGUUUCUAAUGUAACGGAGGAAGUUUCUGGUGAUAAAAAAGAACAUAUUGACCGAGUUAAGCACCCUGUUAAGGGACAGAAGGUAUCUGGAAAUGGUUACAAGACAAAGAAAAUAGCUUCUGGGUCGAAGAGGAAAUGUGAGGUUGUGGUUGAAGGACAAAGAGGUAGCUCUGCUGUAACAUCACUGAAGGAUCAUUGUUCUGGUAUUAGUGUUGAUCUCCCUGAUUCUGGUGAGCAAUUUAAAGACACAAUAAAAGGGAAAAUUGCAUCUGAUAGCAGCAUGAUUGAAUCUUCAUCUGUUGCUUUGAAGUCAGAUAUGGAUGUUGGUGGUGGAAAAAUAACUAAAGAUGUGCUUAAAUCGAAAAGAAGCUUGAAAGUAUCAGAUGAUGACACUGUUGCUAAUUCCAGGGAUGAGGUUUGUGGAAAUAAAAAAAGUGCUCAACCUGGGAUAGCUGGGAAGGUUAAGUUGGGAAUAAAUGACAUUUUGCAUCCUUCCAAAAUGUCUAAGGCUGAUGAUGCCAUCAAGGCAUCUCUUUCUAAAAGUGUGAAAAGUGGUUUUUCAACUUCUAACAUUGAUGACAGCAAAGCAUUUAAACGUUCUGAGUUGAAACUGCCCUCAUCCCAUGUGAAGACUGAAACGGUUUUGGCGUUGAAAGCUCAAACAUGUAAAAGUAAAGUUGAAUCUGAUGUUUCUGGUGAUGAAGCUGUGCUGCCCUUAACAAAGCGACGUAGGCGGGCUUUAGAGGCAAUGUCUGAUUCUCCUACUCUUAGUUCUGAUGAUAAAACGGGGAAAAACUCUCAUGAAAUGAAGAAUGAUGUGUCAUGUUCCAAUAAUGUUAAACCUCUGGUGCCGCAGUUGUCCAAAAGACGGAGAGCUGUUUGCCUAUUUGAUGAGGAUGAUGAUGAAGAACCCAAAACUCCAGUUCAUGGUGGAUCUUCCAGAAAUGUGAAAGCUUCUUCAUCUGUUUCUGAUAAUUCUAGAACUGCUGCACAUCAUGAGAGUUAUGUUAAUGGUCAGCAGAAUGCUGGUCCGAAAGAUUCUGUUAGAAUUGAGAAUAUGCCAAAGGAAUCCUCAUUGCAAAUACAUAAUGAGUCUGUGUCACCUUCCCAACCAGAAAAUUCAGAAAGGAGGCCUAAUUCUCAUGUAGCUUGCGGUCCUGAGAAAGUAGAAGCUGAGCAAUUACUAUUAAAGGGGGCUAAAGCAAAAUUGGUUUCCCCUAAAAGGUCUCCUCAUUUGGUUUCCACUACCAGGACAACUGCAGAACAACAUAGAGCCUCAAAACCUGUGGUUACUAAAGGCUCUGGUACUUCUACUGGUACUCAGAAAAAAGUUCAGGCAAUGUCUGGUAAGGGUUCAGUUCUUGCUUCUGAUAGCACAAGCUCUCUUCAAAAUCAGGUUGCCAGUCAAAGAAAUAGGACAGCCUCUUCUGCUGAACGACCAAAAACCACUCCAAAAGCAGCUUCACGUAUGAAUGACCGUGCUGUUUCGACAGAAACUGUAAUAGAUCACAGUUCUUUGCCCAUCGAAAUAAUGGAGUCUGGGAGAGAAGAUAGGGGCAGUUCAUUCUUUGAUUCAAAGACUCCAGACUCUGUUAUGUCCAUGAAACAUCUUAUUGCAGCUGCUCAGGCAAAAAGGAAACAAGCUCACUCGCGACAAUUUUCUCUUGGAAAUGCUAAUGCUGCUUUUACUUCAUUUGCUGAGGUCCAGGGAAGGAGUCCUAGCCCCUCUUCUGCUCAGCCUUCUUUGACUGCAACCAACAAUGUGCUACAGGCAGAUACACAGGGAUUUAGUAAUCGCACUAGUUUAGCCUCUCCAUCAACUCAUGGUCAUCAAUCAGGGACCCGUAGUCAACUAGAUACUGAAGAAAUUGAGGAGAGAAGAGUUAGUUCAGGACACAGAGGUGGUGGAGGCUCAUUGAGUGGUGGUACUGAGGCAGCUGUUGCUCGUGAUGCGUUUGAAGGAAUGAUAGAAACUUUGUCAAGGACCAAAGAAAGUAUUGGACGUGCAACUCGGCUUGCCAUUGAUUGUGCCAAGUAUGGUAUUGCUAAUGAGGUUGUGGAACUUCUAAUCCGCAAAUUAGAAAGUGAGCUUAGUUAUCAUCGUAAAGUGGACCUGUUCUUUCUUGUGGAUUCAAUCACUCAGUGUUCUCAUAAUCAAAAAGGCAUUGCUGGAGCUUCAUAUAUUCCUGCUGUUCAAUCUGCAUUGCCGCGUCUUUUAGGUGGUGCUGCUCCGCCUGGAAAUGGGGCUCGUGAAAAUCGUCGUCAAUGUCUCAAGGUUUUACGCUUGUGGCUUGAGAGAAAAAUUUUGCCUGAAUCUCUUUUGCGGAAAUGCAUGGAUGACAUUGGAGUUUCAAAUGAUGAGUCAACUUCUGGGUUUUCCCUUAGACGGCCAUCUCGAGCUGAGCGAGCUAUAGAUGAUCCGAUCAGAGAAAUGGAAGGCAUGCUUGUCGAUGAGUAUGGCAGUAAUGCUACAUUCCAGUUGCCUGGCUUUAUAUCUUCCCAUGUGUUUGAGGACGAUGAAGAAGAUGAUCUUCCCAGCAGUACAUAUAAAGAAGUUGGUGAUACAUCUCCAGUAGAGCAAACACGUGCUUCAGGAGAGUCAGAAACAUGCACUGUUACUCCCAAUGAUAGGCGUCAUUGUAUCUUGGAGGAUGUAGAUGGGGAGCUUGAAAUGGAAGAUGUUUCUGGUCAUCCAAAGGAUGAAAAUGAUUCUUUUGAAAUAGAAUCACAACACCAUGGCUCAGAUAGAAUCUUGGAAUCAGUUUCAAAUAAUUUCAGUGAGCAACCCCUUUUACCCGAGGGUUCCCCUCCAUUGCCUCCAGAUUCUCCUCCUCCACUCCCGCCCUUGCCACCUUCACCACCACCACCACCACCUCCACAGUCUUCUCCUUCACCUCCACCACCACCGCCACCACCUCCUCUUCCAUCACAGCCACCACCCGCUCCACCUCCUUUGGGCCCACCACCUAUGUUACCACAAUCAUCAGUGGUACAAUCACAACCUUCAUUAGUGUCUCAGUCAUUACUCCCACAUCAAUCAUCGGUUCAGUCUUCACCUCAGUUGGCAUAUCAACCACCUAUACCUCGCGAAUAUUGCAACACACCCAGUGGUAAUCAAAUUGUCCAAAUGGCUGGAAAUAGUGCUCAUGGUGGUCAUAUUGAUGCUACUGUGAAAAAUGAAUUGUUUACACAGCAAUCACCUUGCUUUGUACCAACGGGAAUGUGCAGUUCUCGAGAAUCUUCUGGAUAUAAUUCUUCGAGGCAAUUGGAAUAUGGUCAUAAUGAUAUAUAUUUAAAUCCCCAAGUUUCUCAGCCGAACCAGCAAUUUCAACAAGGUAAUACACCGUAUGUGCAAAGACCUCUACAUCCUGCCCUGCCUCAAACCCCUUCCAACCAUUUCUCAUUUACAAAGCCAGGGAUUCAGCAACAUCCUCAUCAGAAUUACCCCCAUCCAUAUCCAAUGCCAUCACACCCUGAUAACCAAAGGCGAUAUGUUGGAGAUGAGCAAUGGAGGAUGUCAUCAGGUGAAUUUAAUCCAGAAAGUCAGCAUGGUGUCUGGAUGGGUGGGAGGAGAACUCCACCUCAGCCAGGACCUACAUUUGUCCAAGAAGGUUACUAUCGGCCGCCUGUUGAAAGACCACCCACAAAUAAUAUGGGUUUUCAGCUAUCUGUUGCUAACAACUUACCAGCUGCACCUCCAAUUCCAGGUCACAGUGUUUCCCAGAUGUUGCCAUGUAGACCAGACAUGUCAGCACUUAAUUGUUGGAGACCAGCUUAAGGAUGAACCUAAAGCUUUCUUAAGUGCGUAAGUGUGCGGAUUGUGAGAAAAGUUACAAACUUACUUUAUAUUCUUCUCAAAAGGGGGGGAUUCAUCUUGUAGACAAAUCCAUUUACAGCUUGAAGGCAGUGUUAGAACUUAUGGAGACUCUUGGCAGGACUGUGUAUAUGUAAUUUUUCCUGACAAAUGUAUCCAGGGAACUAUGCUUCCAAGUGUAGGCUCAUGUUUCUGACUUGGAAUUUUGUUGGUGGCAAACCUUUCUACUGGGAAAUAUGCUGGUAAAAAUUGUGAAAGAAGUUUGAUCUACACGUGAUGGUUUGAGUAUAAGUCUGCCUUGCAUAUUCUGGGUUGAAGAAUUGGACCAUCAGGACUAGGUCAUUUGGCAAAGGUUUUUGACCUGGAUAAGUGGCAUUUUAAAUCUCAUAGAUUUACAUGUUCUAAUACUGUAUAGCUAGUAAUAUUGUUCUAUUUCUUUCUUGUAACACUCAUAAAACCCAUUUGUUGGGAUGUGUUUAAAUUACGACUUCAUCAACAGCUUAUGGUGCUUUAUGUUUCUUUGUUGUAAAUGGAAAAUUGAGAUUGACAAGGAAAACUGUUGCAUCACAAUUCUCAAUCAAAGUUAAUUUGCUUGAUGGCUAUAUAUGUGUGUUAUCACAUUUUUACAACCUCACAAUGUUUUGUUCUUUGUCAAGGCUAUUGUAGUGAAGUAAUCUUAUGUUAAUAAUAGGGAAUUAGCGGGACAUUGUUGAUAAGCACAUUGAUGCCAUUAUGGAAGAGUUUGGUUUGAAGUUGCAUACCAUUACAUAGUUUGUAAGUUCUUUGUGGAAUAACUAGCUUGUGAAAUUGCCAACAAUAAUAUAAAAAAUUUGUAAAGUUGGUGUUCAUCAAAUUGGAAUUAUGGCAUUAUGAUCCACACACACACACACACACACACCCAUAUUUGUAUAACUUUGGCAUUAAGUGGGGGUGGGUUAGGUUAAUGUUCAAUUUUACCAAGAACAUAAUUUUUCUUGGUGCCAAACACUAUUUUGGGGUUGGUGAAAUUGCUAUCUUGAUUCCUAUGAAGGUAGGGAAUGGGAAAUAGAAUUGACAUUAGAUAUUCAUUGGGUUGCAUUGUCCACGGUGACUUGCUGUUGGAAUCAAGGGUGGGUUUGAACCAAGCUGAGUUGAGCCCAAACCCAAACAAGGGUUUGGUUGAGCUUGGCUCAAAUUUGGAAUGACAAACUUAAGUUCGAGCCGGCUUGAAUGGUGAACUAUGAUGCUGGAGAAAAUGAAAAAUCAUCGGAGAAAAAGCCAAAGAGGAAGAAUCAUUGGAAAAGAAGAAUCUCCAGUGAAGAUCUGUUGGCUAGCCUUUGAACUUGAAUGGAGUUGCCAAGCUGGAGCUUUAGCUUGAGUUUGACUAGUUGUCAUUGAGGGGAUUUACAGUCAAGCAAUUGGCUAUAGAUUGUUUUGGUAUUAUUUAUUGUCAUUUGUAGAAGAGUUAAGACAUUUUUAGUUUCCACUAUUCUUAUAAGGGAAUCUAUACUGGAUGGCAAUAUUGUUGAGACCCAGAAUUGUUAUUUGUAGAGAAACCGCUCAUUGUUUUAGAUUUAAAUAGAAUAGGUUACCAUUGAACUCGAAUGUUUCCCUUGAGACUCUUCAUAAAUACUCAAGAUCAUGUCCAAGAACUUCUUUAUCCACUAGAUUCUGAAUACCCAGGCCAGCACUUUGCUGUUAAAUGUGCACAGCCUCUAAAGUGAGAAAUUACUUUAGGAGUUACCUUUUUAGUCAUCAAGUAAAUUCUUGAAGCUCUGCAAUUAACUUUAGUGCUUAUCAAGGUUCUUCGUAAUUAAUAUCAAACUUGGUUGACACGCUUCGCAGAGUUUUACUGAGAUGUGUUAUUCCAACAGCAAGUGUGAUCUUGCCAAGCAUUGGAGUAUGGACAAGUCUUCUGUCCAAAAAUUAGUGAGUGCUUUCAAGACUCACUGAAUCUGAUCCUUUGUUUGUCAGUCAAAAACUUGUUUCUCUUGUGUUGGGAAUUGCAGCAGAUUAUCUUACUGAGAGAUGGUGUCUGUCUGUGUGGUCAUUGACUUGAAGGAACCAAGCUUUAAGUUAUUUAGCGUGGGUUUGUGUAGUGUUUUUUUUUUUUUAAAUUUUAUUAUAAUUGAUGUCAAUCGUGAAGUAAAAAAGCUUGACUUGUAAAGCUUACUUCCUUUUUAGAUUGCACUAAGCGUUUCUUGUUGGGAUCUUUGGAUAAAUUAAGAUGUGAAGAAAGGAUUCAUAGUUUAUAGUUCACCUGCCGUUGAUAGAAUUGUCCUCCUCAAUGUCUUUCACACUCAUUUCUUAUUGGAGGAAAGAAAUUUUGUGCUUCACCUUUUAGUUACAUUGGAAAACUAGCAUAUUAUUGUUCUGUCAUUUGUUUUCUCACAUAUGUGUUUUUCCUUUUUGUUUCUUUCCUGUUCCUAAACCAUUAGACUCCAGUGGCUGUCAAGCAAGGCAUGAUCAAAACUUCCUCACCUUCAUCAUUGUCCCCUUUAUACUUUUUUUGUUUUUUUAGGGAUCACAGCUUCUGAAAUGGUUUUAAUUUCCAUUUCCUGGUGCUCAGCGUAAACUAAAGUUUUAUUUAUUUUAGCAGAAACUUGAAGCAUUAAUUUGUUGUGAAUAAUAUACGAUGUUAAUUCUGCAGAGUGAGUUCAUGCGAAUGCCAUCCACUGAAUUCAGUUAUGAUGAGAAGGGUUCAUCUAUAUGAAUUAAGUUCUAGGGCAUCCUUUGGUUUGCUGCCUUAUUGAUAGAAGUCCAAAUAUCAAUAACACUGGACUGUAGAGAAGAAGACUGUUUUUAUCCUAGAGAAUCAUUUUUCUUUUUCUGACAAAGAAUAAGGAAGAAGAUUUUUAGGUAUUAGUUGCAAUUUAGUAGUAUGCAGAAAAAAAAAAAAUGCUGGCAAUCAGAAUCCGAAGAUGUUUUGGUACAAGAAAAAAGAUAAGUAAUAGUUAGAUAGUUAAGUAGGGUGGAGAAAGCAAAAGAAAAAGAUACUAUUUUUCCUGGAUAUGAGUGAAGCUGGAGCAUAAAGAAA